rnacentral:piRNA from 1 species
UUGUGUUGUGGCCUUAUUCUUGC